UAGCUCAACAACAUCAUGAUUUUAUAUUCAAGUAAGUAAGAAUAGCAACUUUUUCUUUUUAUUUGCUUACUAGUAUCCAUGGGGGUCCAUAGGGAUGUCCCACUACGCGUGAACCAACAUCCAACCUUGUUAACUAACUGGCUGUUCCCGUAUCUCAUCCUGUAUGAGUGCCAAAAAUAUCAUCCCUCAAUAUCUUGUCUAGUAUGAGGGUUAAACGGACAGUCCUCAUACCCCAUCCGGUAUGAGCGCCAAAAAUACCAAUCUCCGAUACCCUGUCCGGUAUUAGACGACAUUGACGGUAGGCUUCCCUUUGUACCAGGUUCGUCCACCAUCUUCCAAGAUAUCUAGUACGGCUACCAUUCAGUCAUUCACUUAACCAAUCAAUUUUCUGUUUACCUUUAAUUUUUAGUUUCACAAUUUAACCGUAAAUCGAUGCAAGACAAAUCAUACAUGCAUCAAG
rnacentral:lncRNA from 1 species